GACGAACGCUGGCGGCGUGCUUAACACAUGCAAGUCGAACGGAAAGGCCCUGCUUUUGUGGGGUGCUCGAGUGGCGAACGGGUGAGUAACACGUGAGUAACCUGCCCUUGACUUUGGGAUAACUUCAGGAAACUGGGGCUAAUACCGGAUAGGAGCUCCUGCUGCAUGGUGGGGGUUGGAAAGUUUCGGCGGUUGGGGAUGGACUCGCGGCUUAUCAGCUUGUUGGUGGGGUAGUGGCUUACCAAGGCUUUGACGGGUAGCCGGCCUGAGAGGGUGACCGGCCACAUUGGGACUGAGAUACGGCCCAGACUCCUACGGGAGGCAGCAGUGGGGAAUAUUGCACAAUGGGCGGAAGCCUGAUGCAGCAACGCCGCGUGCGGGAUGACGGCCUUCGGGUUGUAAACCGCUUUCGCCUGUGACGAAGCGUGAGUGACGGUAAUGGGUAAAGAAGCACCGGCUAACUACGUGCCAGCAGCCGCGGUGAUACGUAGGGUGCGAGCGUUGUCCGGAUUUAUUGGGCGUAAAGGGCUCGUAGGUGGUUGAUCGCGUCGGAAGUGUAAUCUUGGGGCUUAACCCUGAGCGUGCUUUCGAUACGGGUUGACUUGAGGAAGGUAGGGGAGAAUGGAAUUCCUGGUGGAGCGGUGGAAUGCGCAGAUAUCAGGAGGAACACCAGUGGCGAAGGCGGUUCUCUGGGCCUUUCCUGACGCUGAGGAGCGAAAGCGUGGGGAGCGAACAGGCUUAUAUACCCUGGUAGUCCACGCUGUAAACGGUGGGUACUAGGUGUGGGGUCCAUUCCACGGGUUCCGUGCCGUAGCUAACGCUUUAAGUACCCCGCCUGGGGAGUACGGCCGCAAGGCUAAAACUCAAAGGAAUUGACGGGGCCCCGCACAAGCGGCGGAGCAUGCGGAUUAAUUCGAUGCAACGCGUAGAACCUUACCUGGGUUUGACAUGGAUCGGGAGCGCUCAGAGAUGGGUGUGCCUCUUUUGGGGUCGGUUCACAGGUGGUGCAUGGCUGUCGUCAGCUCGUGUCGUGAGAUGUUGGGUUAAGUCCCGCAACGAGCGCAACCCUUGUUCACUGUUGCCAGCACGUUAUGGUGGGGACUCAGUGGAGACCGCCGGGGUCAACUCGGAGGAAGGUGGGGAUGACGUCAAGUCAUCAUGCCCCUUAUGUCCAGGGCUUCACGCAUGCUACAAUGGCUGGUACAGAGAGUGGCGAGCCUGUGAGGGUGAGCGAAUCUCGGAAAGCCGGUCUCAGUUCGGAUUGGGGUCUGCAACUCGACCUCAUGAAGUCGGAGUCGCUAGUAAUCGCAGAUCAGCAACGCUGCGGUGAAUACGUUCCCGGG
rnacentral:rRNA from 1 species